rnacentral:sRNA from 1 species
CUUAUCGGCAAACGCCGUCAACCUUGGAAGCCUUGAACAUUCAGUCUGCUUCGAUGCAGGCGACACCGGUCCGUUGCUGAGACCUUUCACGUUGAAGAUCAGCAGCCGCAUUACCGACUGGUUUUUGCGGUUCACAGAUCAAACACUGGUGGCCUACUGGAUUUACAUCACGGACGCUGCGUCACGCACGUCUCCCGUAGGUUAAAAUAUGACCGGCAUCACCUAAAAAUAGGUGAGACUUUGCGUUCCGUAGGUGAACCUGCGGAAGGAUCAUUACCGAGUUCAGGGCGUCAUGCCCGACCUCCAACCCCAUGUGGAUCCGCCUUUGUUGCUUUGGCGGGCCGGUGGAAGCACCUUCUCCGGUGGCUUUGUGGCCGCUGAGAGCCCGUCAGAGACCCAUCCGAACCCGUGAACUGUGCAGUCCGAGUACCAAACAAACAAUCAAAACUUUCAACAACGGAUCUCUUGGUUCUGGCAUCGAUGAAGAACGCAGCGAAAUGCGAUAAGUAAUGUGAAUUGCAGAAUUCAGUGAAUCAUCGAAUCUUUGAACGCACAUUGCGCCCCUCGGUAUUCCGGGGGGCAUGCCUGUUCGAGCGUCAUUACACCACUCAAGCAUCGCUUGGUCAUGGGCGUUCGUCCCCCGUGGACGUGCCUGGAAAUCAGCGGCGGCGCGGCCUGGCUUCAAGCAGCAUUGGUACAUCUUUCGCUUUGGAAGCCCCAGGCUCGGGUCGGCCGGACAAAUCUUUCACCAAAGGUUGACCUCGGAUCAGGUAGGGAUACCCGCUGAACUUAAGCAUAUCAAUAAGCGGAGGAAAAGAAACCAACUGGGAUUGCCUCAGUAACGGCGAGUGAAGCGGCAGCAGCUCAAAUUUGAAAUCUGGCCCCGUCGGGGUCCGAGUUGUAAUUUGCAGAGGAUGCUUCGGGUGUGGAUCCGGUCUGAGUUCCUUGGAACAGGACGUCGUAGAGGGUGAGAGCCCCGUAUGUGAGGCCUCCACAGCCCGUGUGAAGCUCCUUCGACGAGUCGAGUUGUUUGGGAAUGCAGCUCCAAAUGGGUGGUAAAUUUCAUCUAAAGCUAAAUAUUGGCCAGAGACCGAUAGCGCACAAGUAGAGUGAUCGAAAGAUGAAAAGCACUUUGGAAAGAGAGUCAAACAGUACGUGAAAUUGUUGAAAGGGAAGCGCUUGCAACCAGACUUGCCCGCGGGCGAUCAGCCGGCGUUUGUCGCCGGUGCACUCGCCCGCGGUCAGGCCAGCAUCGGUUUGGGUGGCUGGACAAAGUCCCCCGGAAUGUGGCUCCCCCCGGGGAGUGUUAUAGCUGGAGGUGCCAUGCAGCCCGCCCGGACCGAGGACCGCGCU